GGGGUUGUGGCUCAGUGGUAAAGUGCUCGCCUAGCAUGUGUGAGGCACUGGGUUCGAUCCUCAGCACCACA
rnacentral:tRNA from 1 species